GUGUAUAAAAUAGUAAACAUACUGACUAAAAUUGGAACGAUACAGAGAAGAUUAGCACAGCCCCUGCGCAAGGAUGACACGCAAAUUCGUGAAACGUUCCAUAUUUUU